rnacentral:rRNA from 1 species
GCACAACGCGAAGAACCUUACCCACCUUUGACAUGUACGGAAUCCUUUAGAGAUAGAGGAGUGCUCGAAAGAGAGCCGUAACACAGGUGCUGCAUGGCUGUCGUCAGCUCGUGUCGUGAGAUGUUGGGUUAAGUCCCGCAACGAGCGCAACCCUUGCCAUUAGUUGCUACAUUUAGUUGAGCACUCUAAUGGGACUGCCGGUGACAAACCGGAGGAAGGUGGGGAUGACGUCAAGUCCUCAUGGCCCUUAUAGGUGGGGCUACACACGUCAUACAAUGGCUGGUACAAAGGGUUGCCAACCCGCGAGGGGGAGCUAAUCCCAUAAAGCCAGUCGUAGUCCGGAUCGCAGUCUGCAGCUCGACUGCGUGAAGUCGGAAUCGCUAGUAAUCGUGGAUCAGAAUGUCACGGUGAAUACGUUCCCGGGUCUUGUACACACCG